rnacentral:rRNA from 1 species
GAUGAACGCUGGCGGCGUGCCUAAUACAUGCAAGUCGAGCGAACGGACGAGAAGCUUGCUUCUCUGAUGUUAGCGGCGGACGGGUGAGUAACACGUGGAUAACCUACCUAUAAGACUAGGAUAACUUCGGGAAACCGGAGCUAAUACCGGAUAAUAUUUUGAACCGCAUGGUUCAAAAGUGAAAGACGGUCUUGCUGUCACUUAUAGAUGGAUCCGCGCUGCAUUAGCUAGUUGGUAAGGUAACGGCUUACCAAGGCAACGAUGCAUAGCCGACCUGAGAGGGUGAUCGGCCACACUGGAACUGAGACACGGUCCAGACUCCUACGGGAGGCAGCAGUAGGGAAUCUUCCGCAAUGGGCGAAAGCCUGACGGAGCAACGCCGCGUGAGUGAUGAAGGUCUUCGGAUCGUAAAACUCCGUUAUUAGGGAAGAACAUAUGUGUAAGUAACUGUGCACAUCUUGACGGUACCUAAUCAGAAAGCCACGGCUAACUACGUG